AGCGAACGCUGGCGGCAGGCCUAACACAUGCAAGUCGAACGAAGCCUUCGGGCUUAGUGGCGGACGGGUGAGUAACACGUGGGAACGUACCUUUUGGUUCGGAACAACUCAGGGAAACUUGAGCUAAUACCGGAUGAGCCCUUAGGGGGAAAGAUUUAUCGCCGAAAGAGCGGCCCGCGUUAGAUUAGCUAGUUGGUGAGGUAAAGGCUCACCAAGGCUACGAUCUAUAGCUGGUCUGAGAGGAUGAUCAGCCACACUGGGACUGGAACACGGCCCAGACUCCUAAGGGAGGCAGCAGUGGGGAAUCUUGCGCAAUGGGCGAAAGCCUGACGCAGCCAUGCCGCGUGAAUGAUGAAGGUCUUAGGAUUGUAAAAUUCUUUUACCAGGGGCGAUAAUGACGGUACCUGGAGAAAAAGCCCCGGCUAACUUCGUGCCAGCCGCCGCAGUAACAC
rnacentral:rRNA from 1 species